GAUGAACGCUGGCGGCGUGCCUAAUACAUGCAAGUAGAACGCUGAAGGAGGAGCUUGCUCUUCUGGAUGAGUUGCGAACGGGUGAGUAACGCGUAGGUAACCUGCCUGGUAGCGGGGGAUAACUAUUGGAAACGAUAGCUAAUACCGCAUGACAACAGUUAUUGCAUGAUAACUGUUUAAAAGGGGCAACUGCUCCACUACCAGAUGGACCUGCGUUGUAUUAGCUAGUUGGUGAGGUAACGGCUCACCAAGGCGACGAUACAUAGCCGACCUGAGAGGGUGAUCGGCCACACUGGGACUGAGACACGGCCCAGACUCCUACGGGAGGCAGCAGUAGGGAAUCUUCGGCAAUGGACGGAAGUCUGACCGAGCAACGCCGCGUGAGUGAAGAAGGUUUUCGGAUCGUAAAGCUCUGUUGUAAGAGAAGAACGAGUGUGAGAGUGGAAAGUUCACACUGUGACGGUAUCUUACCAGAAAGGGACGGCUAAC
rnacentral:rRNA from 1 species